GUAGGGAAUAUUGGGCAAUGGUCGGAAGACUGACCCAGCCAUGCCGCGUGCAGGAAGACGGCCCUCUGGGUUGUAAACUGCUUUUAUCUGGGAAGAAAAAGGCCAUGCGUGGCAAAUUGCCGGUACCAGAUGAAUAAGCACCGGCUAACUCCGUGCCAGCAGCCGCGGUAAUACGGAGGGUGCGAGCGUUGUCCGGAUUUAUUGGGUUUAAAGGGUGCGUAGGCGGCUGAUUAAGUCAGCGGUGAAAGACUUCGGCUUGACCGGAGCAGUGCCGUUGAUACUGGUUGGCUUGAGUGUCGGAGGGGUACAUGGAAUUGAUGGUGUAGCGGUGAAAUGCAUAGAUACCAUCAGGAACACCGAUAGCGAAGGCAUUGUACUGGCCGACAACUGACGCUGAUGCACGAAAGUGUGGGGAUCGAACAGGAUUAGAUACCCUUGUAGUCC
rnacentral:rRNA from 1 species